GCGAACGCUGGCGGCAGGCUUAACACAUGCAAGUCGAGCGGGCGUAGCAAUACGUCAGCGGCAGACGGGUGAGUAACGCGUGGGAACGUACCUUUUGGUUCGGAACAACCCAGGGAACUUGGGCUAAUACCGGAUAAGCCCUACGGGGAAAGAUUAUCGCCGAAAGAUCGGCCCGCGUCUGAUUAGCUAGUUGGUGAGGUAACGGCUCACCAAGGCGACGAUCAGUAGCUGGUCUGAGAGGAUGAUCAGCCACAUUGGGACUGAGACACGGCCCAAACUCCUACGGGAGGCAGCAGUGGGGAAUAUUGGACAAUGGGCGCAAGCCUGAUCCAGCCAUGCCGCGUGAGUGAUGAAGGCCC
rnacentral:rRNA from 1 species